rnacentral:sRNA from 1 species
AAAGUAGAUCAGAAAAACUGUGAGAAAGCCACUGAGAUGCUGCCCAGCUGAAGCAGAAGGUAGCGGUCUCUUCGCAUCCCUUUACAUUUUGGGUCUCGCCUGGAAAGGAAAAGGACCAAAGGCAAUCCACGCAAUGAAGACUUGGAAUCCUAGGCGCCUACUGAACAUGACGACGCGCCGGGAGUGGUGUGCACUGUCGCAAAGCUCCUGCACCCGAUGAGCCAGAAGGAGAAAAAGGAGGAGGAGGAGGAAGAGGAAGAAGAGGAAGAGGAAGAAGAGGAGGAGGAGGAGGAGGACAACAACAAGAAUACAGUGUAUGUUUUGAUUAGCUUGUACACAAAUGUUCAACCGCUCUCAAAGGCUGGGACCCCAGUGUCUAGACAUAGUGCUGAGACAUGAAACUUGAAAGCAUACAUCUACUAGAAUAGUCUAAGACAGAGCGUUAGGACAUGGUGGCACAUGCUAUCUCAAGCCCUACAGAGAAACGAGUUGUCAAUGUUAGAGCUAUGGACCGUGACAGGUGAAUAGAGAGCUUAGCAUAGGUGGUCAUUUAAAGGCUACUGUUUCAGCAGAAUGAUUUACUCUGUACUUUCCUUAUAGACACCAUUAGGAAUCAAGCCUCACACAGCUGAAAUUAAUGUGAGAGUCUCCUUGUUUCUAUGGUUUGUUAUUUUGUUUUGGAGUCUAAACUAGGCAGGCCAAGACUUUAUCCAGAUUAUGAGUCCUACAAAGUAGCCCAUCUGUCUCCAUCUUUUAUUGGAUAUUUCAUACUCUAAUGACUUUUCCCACUAGGCCUUGUCAAAAUGUUGACUCAAAGACUUAAAAAAAAAGGGGGGGGGGGCUUUACUACAUUUGGGAAUGUAUUUUAAAUCCUCUGUGUUCCCAAGGAUCCUAUUAUUGCCUAUGAUGGGCAUGAGCAAGCCAUCUUCAUGACGCAUCUAACAAGCACUGUGGAGCUCCCGGCCAGUGUCUGGGUCUUAUACAAGCUGUCCUUGGACACAGCUUCUGUGGUUACUGUGUACUGAACCCUUCACCCUUGUCAUUCUGCCCACUGUCUCACAGGCACUCUGCGUGUAUUCCCAAUACAAUGCAUUACU